AAGGAGAAAGAGUUAACAUAAGAAAACACGAGCUCAGUUUUGUUACACGGUUCUUGAUAAACAUACAGUUCGUAAACGAAAAUUGUUUAAUAAAUAAUAAUAAAACAAAUAAACAAAAACCUAAAUUAAAUUGAAAAGUGUUAAGGAAUUUAAAGAAAUCUCAAAAAUACGACAAGAAUUUCAAAAGAAAUCUGUGAAGUUUGAAACCCAUUACAAAGGAAUAAAAUUCAAUUUUCGUAACAGGGCUGGAGCAAAAAAAAAAACAAAAAGAAAAUUUUAAGUUCUAAAGUGUAUGUGUGUGUGAGUGCGUGUUAAAAAAUAAUUAAAAAAAAAAAAUCAGUAAAAUUAAAAACAAAAAACUUUUAAUAAGCGACGUUAACAAAUUAAGCUUUUAGUUUGAGUACUUAAAUUUUAAUUUAACUUGGAAUAAAGGAAAAUAUAAUUGAAAAGGUAAUUGUUGUUGCAUUUAAUUUGCCAUAUUUUGAGUAAGUUAGAUUUUAUUGUUAUAUCUUUGAAAUAUUUAAAAAUAUAUAAAAAUUUCACCAUAAAUUUUAAAAACAAAUACAGGA